rnacentral:rRNA from 1 species
GACGAACCGAGCGAACGUUGUUCGGAAUCACUGGGCUUAAAAGGGCGCGUAGGCGGUCCUGUAAGUGGUGUGUGAAAUCCGAUGGCUCAACCAUCGAGCUGCGCUCCAUACUGCAGGACUUGAGUACAGCAGAGGAAAGUGGAAUUCCCGGUGUAGCGGUGAAAUGCGUAGAUAUCGGGGAGGAACACCGUUGGCGAAGGCGACUUUCUGGGCUGUUACUGACGCUGAAGCGCGAAAGCGUGGGUAGCAAACAGG